UGGGGAAUAUUGGACAAUGGGCGCAAGCCUGAUCCAGCCAUGCCGCGUGAGUGAUGAAGGCCCUAGGGUUGUAAAGCUCUUUCACCGGUGAAGAUAAUGACGGUAACCGGAGAAGAAGCUCCGGCUAACUUCGUGCCAGCAGCCGCGGUAAUACGAAGGGGGCUAGCGUUGUUCGGAUUUACUGGGCGUAAAGCGCACGUAGGCGGACUUUUAAGUCAGGGGUGAAAUCCCGGGGCUCAACCCCGGAACUGCCUUUGAUACUGGAAGUCUUGAGUAUGGUAGAGGUGAGUGGAAUUCCUAGUGUAGAGGUGAAAUUCGUAGAUAUUCGGAGGAACACCAGUGGCGAAGGCGGCUCACUGGACCAUUACUGACGCUGAGGUGCGAAAGCGUGGGGAGCAAACAGG
rnacentral:rRNA from 1 species